GACCUCAGCCUGAUUUCCAAACCUCCGAUUGGCUCGGCUCCUCCGAGGAUACCGGAAGAUUGAAGACCUUUGUUUGAAAUUUGAAGUGCCCACUUCACCCGUGGCUGCAGGAGAGGAGGGAAGGAAGCAACCGAGGAGGAAGCAGGAGACUCGAAUGUCCUGACCACCCCAGUACCAACCAAGCCAGCCAGGGAGAUCCCGGCGGCAGCGGUGAGGCCCAGAAUGGUAGGCGAAAUUCUUCGCUUGGAGUGAGUGAGAUGGUUCUCACCGGGCUCUCAUGUUAUGUGGCUGGGAGGGAUUGACGGUGCCAUUGGGUCCCCGGGAAAUUUGAUUGACUCAUCCAACUUGGAGCUUUCUUUUUUCCCUGGAUGACAAAAACUGAAGACAGCUUUGUAAUCUCUGUAAAGCAAUCCCAAAGAAAGGCCAGAAGCCUCUGUGUGACUUCUAUUCUGCAGUGAGGUCGAGUUGCCUUUUAGAUACCUGUGGGAGGGAUUCGGUACGGAGAGCUACACCAAAGAGGAAGAGGACCAGGGAGAAGUCGACUGGGGGCUCAAGCCAAAACGUGGAGACCGGACCACCCCUGAGAGAAGAUGGGAGUCGACGUGUCCCUCAGAAAAAAAUAAGUAUCGAAUCAGCCACUAACCCCCAAACACUUGGAAGCAUUUACUGCCCGUAUCACAUUAUUUGAAUCAGGGUCAGUCUCUCUCACAUUUUUAGAUUCCAGAUGACAAGGUGUUUGGACUUUUCCUCCCAGAAUAUUUCCCCAAUCCAUUUUCAGGAGAAAGAACUCUGGUUAGGAGGUUGUUUUUCCUGCUCAGAAUCAGUCAGGUGAGAGAGAGGAGGUACGGGGAGCUUUUAAUUAGGAAGAAAUGAUAGGGAAAGUCAAAGAGAAAUUAAAAAGAGAGUACCGGUAGGAUGCUUAAAAGGAGAUAAACAGCCUGACACUUGACUGUAAAUUUCCCAGGGAAAUUUACCACCUGCCCCUUCAAAAGAAGGAAUGAAACACCCUAAGCCGAGGCUCCCCGCCAUUAGAGCAGUUCACUCUCCUGACUACUGGGAUUGGGAUUAUAUUCCAUGUGAGGCUUGGAUUAGUUUUCAGGAGAGAUCAAAGGAAAUUCUUGCACAUCCCCUAAGGGUGUGUUUCUGAAGGUGAUCUGGAAGUGAAUUCCCUCUGUAAAGAGGUGGUAGAGUCCAGGUUCUAACCCAGGUGGAUAUUUUUCAGAGACUUCACCUACCCAAUUCUGGGAGUGCCCCUGACAGGCAAACAAUUCCCCAGAGCUCCAGUCCCAGAUGUGAGCAGAAGCUGAGAUACAGGAGAGCGAGGAGGGCUAGAUGAAAAGAUGCUGGCAGCAGCCAAGGACCGCGGCCUCAUUACCAGACCUCCUACCUCCGAUUGGCUCGGCUUCUCCGAGGAUACCGGAAGAAUGAAGACUGUCUUGAGAGAAGACCUUCCAUCUGGAUCAGGCGGCAAGUGGUGGAUAAAGGGGAAACCCUUUUAGGUCCCUAGCUGACCCCUCCAGCUGUAUCCCAGGUCUCUGGGGCCAGGAAGUUGGAGGAAAAAAAUAGAUUCCUUCAGGCAAAGAAUCUCCUGCUUUUAUUUAUCCACUUAAGGUCUUCACGGCCUGAAAGGAGCCUAUGGGGGUAAAACAGGAGAAUUUUCUUUGAGGCAAAAACUCUCAGGGUUAUUUGAUAUGCUAAGGAUUUAGAGGCUUUCAAAGAAAAUACAUGAGGAGCGAGAGGAGAGCUCUCCUCUAUGGCGAAGCAUCUCCCGUGCCUUAGUCCAACUCAUGUCUCCAAGGCCUUUUCUUGGAGAACACAGAGAGAGUUAUUGAGGUUCAGCGGAGAAAGUUUUUGCUUCCUGCACAAAUUUUCCUAGGUCAUCAAGGCCUUCAAAAGAAUGUUUGAGGUGAAAAGGGAGAAGUUUGCUUCAAGCGAAUACUCUCCAGGUUUUCUUUCUCUAUCGAAGGUCUUCAAGGCCUCAAAAGAGAAUAUUUGAGUGAAGAAGAGGAAAUUUGCUUGGUACAAAGAAAUCUGCUCUCCCUACUCCCGGUCUUCAAGGCCUAAAAAGGCAAUCUAUGGAGUUCCAAAAAAAAACAAAACAAAAGGAGGAUUUUGCUUCGUGCAAAACCUCCCUGCUUCUCUGUCCACCUAAGGUCUUCAAGGCCUCCAAAGAUAUUAUUUGGGGGGUAAAUGGAGAAAUGGGCGUCUUGCAGGUCCAUCUGCUGUCCAUUACUCCACCUCAGGCCUUCAAGGCCUCUGAACUGAGAAUGAAUGAGAAACUCUUGGAGGCGGAGGAGGGGAAAUUUGCUUCAUGCAAAAAUCUCCAGAUUAUAUCUCUCUCUCGAAGGUCUUCAGGGCCAGAAAAGAGAAUAUUUAAGGUCCAAAAGGAGAAAAUCGCCUCAUGUUAAUCCCUGGCUUUCCGAUCCCCACUGAAGGUCUUCAAGGCCUCCAAUGAGGGUAUUUGAGGUGAAAAAGGAGGAAGUGAGUUUCAUUGAUGCAGUUCCCCGUGUAUGUUUCUCUGGGGUCUUCAAGGCUUCCAAAGAGAAUAUUUCAAGGAAAAAGGAGACAUUUGCGUCAUGCAAACAAUUUCCUGCUUCCAGGUCCCUCCCUCAGGUUUUCAAGGCCCCCAAAUGUAUACCAUUUAAAAAGAGAGAGUUUGGCUUCAUGCCAAAACCUUCCAGCUCAUUUGUCCCCCCUGAGGUCGACCAGGCCUUCAAAGAUAACGUAUGCAGUGAAAAAUGAUCAACAGGCUUCCUGCAAACUAUCUCCCUCUUUUCUUUCCACAAGGCCUUCCCGGCCUGGCAACAGAAUGAUUUAGGUGAAAAGGGAGAAAUUUGCUUCAUGCAGUAGAUGCAUCUGCCGUUCAUUACGCCAUCUGAAGGCUUUAAGGCUGUUGAACUGAGAAUGAAUAGAGAGGAGUUGAGUUGGAAAAGGAAUGCAUCUCCAGGCCUUCCAAGUAAAUAUUUGAGGUGAACAAGGAGAAGCAAACUCUAGUUUUGGUUCCUCUAAGGUCUUCAAGGCCUCCAAAGAGAACACUUGAGGUGAAAAGGGAGAAAUUUGUUUCAUUCCAAACUGCCUCUUGCCUUCUUUCUCUAAGGUCUCCAAGACCUGAGAAGAUAGUAUAUGGCAUAGAAAAAGGAGAAUUUUGCUUCCGGCAAAAUCUGUUAGGCGUAUUGGUCAAUCUAAGGUCUUCAAGACCCUCAAAGAGAAUAUAAGAGGCUUCCUGCAAAAAAACCUCCAGGUUUCCUAUCACCGGGCAUUGCCGGAGAAUGAUUUAGGUGAACAAAGGGAGAAAUCUGCUUUAUGCAGAUACACUUCCUGUGCAUUACUCCAGCUCAGGCCUUCAAGGCCCUUUACUUGGGAAUGAAUGGAGAAAUUUUGAGGGGAAAAAGGAGAAAUUUGCCUCAUGCAAACUUUGUACAGCUUGGAUUUCUCUUCCUGAAGGUCUUCACGGCCUCAAAAGAGAAUAUUUGAGAUGGGAAAGGAGAGGUUUGCUUCGUGCACACAAUGUCCAUCUCUUAAGUCUUUUUCUCCGGUGUUGAAGGCCAUAAAAGAGAAUGUUUGCGGUGACAAUGGAGAAAUUUGCUUUAUGCAUACAAUCUCCAACUUUGAUUCAUCUGAGGUCUUCAAGGCCUCAAGAGAAAAUGUGUAAGGCUUAAACGGAAAACUAUGCUUUGCGAAGACUAUCUCCCGCAGUCCUUUGGCUACCUGAAGUAUCCUAGACCUGAAAAGAGAAUCUUUGAGGUGGAAAAGGAGAAGUUUGCUUCACGCAAACAAUCUCCUACUUGAAUUUCUCUACCCAAGGUCUUCAAGGCCUCACGAGAGACCAUUGACGGUGAAAAGGGAGAAAUAGGUUUCAUGCAAAAACCAGCUCCUACUUUUCCUUCUCUCCCUGAAGUCUUUCAGACCAGAAAAGGGAAUAGUUGAGAUUUAGAACAACAGGAGAAAUUCGCCUCAUUCAAGCCACCUCCCAAUUUCAUUUCUUUACCUAAGGUCUUCAAGGCCUGAAGGGAGAAUAUGUGUGACAAGUCCAAAAAGGACAAGUUUUCUUCCUGCAAACCAUGUCCUGCUUUGUUUUCUCUGCCUAAAGGCCAGAAGGAGUAACGUAUGGGAUUAAGAAAGGAUAAAUUUGCCUCCUCCAAAAACUCACCUCAUCAUUUAUUCACCUAAGUUCUUCAAGACCUGAAGGGAAAAUACCUGAACUGGAAAAGGAGACAUUUGCUUCAUGCGGAAACAUCUCCCGUGCUUUGUUGCACAUGAGGCUUUUAAGGCCUUUUACAAGACAAUAAGUAGAGAACAUUGGUGGCGAAAAGGAGAAAUGUGCCUCAUGCCAAAGAAAUCUGCUCCAUUUCUCUGCCCAAGGUCUUCAUGGACCUGAAAUGAGAAUCUUUGAGAUGAGAAAGGAGAAGUUUGCUUCAUGCAGAAACCUCUCCUGUUCAUUAGA